GCGGGUGUAGUUCAGUGGUAGAAUGUCUCCUUGCCAAGGAGAAGAUCGCCGGUUCGAAUCCGGUCACCCGCUCCA
rnacentral:tRNA from 1 species